rnacentral:rRNA from 1 species
AUUGAACGCUGGCGGCAGGCCUAACACAUGCAAGUCGAGCGCGAAAGUCUUCGGAUGAGUAAAGCGGCGAACGGGUGAGUAAUGCAUGGGAAUCUGCCUGGUAGUGGGGACAACGUCUCGAAAGGGACGCUAAUACCGUAUACGCCCUACGGGGAAAGGGGGGAUCUUCGGACCUCUCGCUAUCAGAUGAGCCCAUGUCAGAUUAGCUAGUUGGUGAGGUAAAGGCUCACCAAGGCGACGAUCUGUAACUGGUCUGAGAGGAUGAUCAGUCACACUGGAACUGAGACACGGUCCAGACUCCUACGGGAGGCAGCAGUGGGGAAUAUUGGACAAUGGGGGGCAACCCUGAUCCAGCCAUGCCGCGUGUGUGAAGAAGGCCCUAGGGUUGUAAAGCACUUUCAGUGGGGAGAAAGGUUAUUCACCUAAUACGUGAGUAGAUUGAUGUUACCCACAGAAGAAGCACCGGCUAACUCCGUGCCAGCAGCCGCGGUAAU